rnacentral:lncRNA from 1 species
ACCAAAUGCUGCCAAUGUGACGUCACUGGGAUGGUCGAAAGCUGAUUGGUCGCUGAGAUUCAGGCGAUGCUGUCAAUUCUGGCGCACCGGCGCAGUGUUUUCCAGCCGUUGCGUGUAUUGUUAUACGGAGUUUGAAUAUUGUUUAUUUGAUAAUAAUAUCACUUUUUAUGUGUUUGAAAAUCGGAAAAGCAUGCACAUAAAUGGCAUUCACACACUUGUCGUCUCAGAGAUCAUGAAGAAUGACCAGCUUCAGCAGUUCAGCUCAGGUCCGGGGCUGGUCCUCUGGCGUGCAGGACGGCGAGGAGUGGCUACCUGCACAUAACAACACAAUGACUGGCACCGAGCUGAGGGUAUAAAAUCACAUCAUAUCGACUUCAGCACCUGUCUCCCAGCUUUGGAGACGUCGCCCGACUCCCGAGUCCCUGAGUGGCGAGCGCCAGUUUCCGAAAGGAAGUUGAGGAAGGCAACCCGAAAGCACCCGCUGGGCUGCCGACACUCCUGCGCUGCCAGCAGGGCGUGCUGCGCAGUAAAGCCUCGCUGCGUGGUCUGUACGACAUCCGACACCGGCACCCAGACGUGCAGUUUCUGAUGACAUCCCACCUCAACCAGGGCUGCCCCGAGAAUCUGCUAGUGCUGACUGCCUGCCGCUGAGGCCGACCUGCCGGACCUGUCGCCGCCCUGGUGAGCCUGAGCCGCCCUGGGACCUGCCGCCGCGUCUACGCUGCCGCCCUGGUGAAACUGCCGUCGCCCUGCCGGACCUGUCGCCGCCCUGGUGAGCCUGCGGCCGCCCUGGACCUGCUGCCACCCCGGCGGACCUGCUGCCACCCCGGCGGACCUGCUGCCACCCCGGCGGACCUGCCGCCGCGUCUACGCUUCCGCCCUGGUGAAACUGCCGUCGCCCUGCUGGACCUGUCGCCGCCCUGGUGAGCCUGCGACCGCCCUGGGACCUGCUGCCACCCCAGCGGGCCUGCCGCCGCGUCUACGCUGCCGCCCUGGUGAAACAGGUCCGUCGUCGCCCUGCCGGACCUGUCGCCGCCCUGGUAAACCUGCUGCCGACCUGUCGCACUUGCCACCGCCCUGGUGAAUCUGCUGCCGACCUGCCUGACCUGUCGCUGCCGUGGUGAACCUGUUACCGACUUGCCGGACCUUUCUCGCCGCCUUGACGAGCUUGGGGAGCCUGUGCUGAGGUGCCACCGCUCUGUUUCACGUGUUAUGUUGCCCGGUUCCUGGCUGUCGCGGAGUCAAUCGGCACAUUGUGUUUGGAGAGGCGACAUCUUGUACAACUUUCCGACAGUUCGGAGCAUUUUAUUGUACCUACUCAAGUCGCAAGAGAUUAGGCUUGUGCCUUAUCUGUCCUCUUAUCAAUCUGUCCAAUAUGGUUUUUUAUAAUUACGAUUUAUGGUAUUGUAUGACAUAAACCGGUAUAUUGUGUA